rnacentral:rRNA from 1 species
UACGAGGGGGCGAGCGUUGUUCGGAAUUAUUGGGCGUAAAGGGUGCGUAGGCGGUUCCGCAAGUCCUGUGUGAAAUCUUCGGGCUCAACUCGAAGUCUGCACGGGAAACUGCGGGGCUUUGAGUGUGGGAGAGGUGAGUGGAAUUCCGGUGUAGCGGUGAAAUGCGUAGAUAGUCGGGAGGAACACCUGUGGCGAAAGCGGCUCACUGGACCAUA